rfam:Ipomoea nil DNA, scaffold: scaffold0465, cultivar: Tokyo-kokei standard.
GCGCAUUUAGUGUAGUACUAUCAUAGUACCCUCCCAUGGUACUGACCAGGGUUUAAAUCCCCGAAUGCGCA